UACAGAGGGGGCAAGCGUUGUUCGGAAUUACUGGGCGUAAAGGGCGCGUAGGCGGCCUGUUAAGUCGGACGUGAAAUCCCUCGGCUCAACCGGGGAACUGCGUCCGAUACUGGCGGGCUUGAAUUCGGGAGAGGGAUGUGGAAUUCCAGGUGUAGCGGUGAAAUGCGUAGAUAUCUGGAGGAACACCGGUGGCGAAGGCGGCAUUCUGGACUGUAACUGACACUGAGGAACGAAAGCCAGGGGAGCAAACGGG
rnacentral:rRNA from 1 species